CGUACAUUUUAGGGGAAUAAACGCAGGAAAGCGUGUAAGUGACUCGGUGUUCGCUGGGAAUGACUGGCUGAGCGCCAUUUAUCCCAUCACCUGUCCGUCAAAUUGUUAUUGCAUUACGCGCGGGGCGAUGUUACAUGAGCGCACGUCCAUUAUUCCAAGAGCGCACUCCAAGCUAGACACCGUGAAAUUGUAACUUGCGACCGGUAAUGACACACCAGCCACCUAAUUACACCACUUUUACCCACCGAAAGAAAGUACCGAGCGACAAAAAUACACAACAGAAUAAUAGUUUCCAAGAAAAGAAGGACAUUUCACGGACAGAAUUUCACUCAACCACCUACACGACUGACAAAAGCCGAGGAAUUCCCAAGCUCCUUUUUACCUGAUCGCAUCUCUCUCUCUCCCGCGCUUUUUGCACAAACACAAGUGCAUUAUUCGACCCCCUCUUGCCUGACAAAGGGGCUGAAAACAUUAUUUUGGCGUCUUCCCAGAAAAAAUCACGCAGCCAAUAGAGCACACUGGCUCAUUCACCAUGCAGUCCAUUACGCAAAUUGUGCUGUUACAUUGUGUCUACAUUCAUCUGUUUGGUCAGUCAUCAAGAAAAGUGCCGGCGCAAGGCAAACACCUGGAAUCGGCCUGCAGUUGAUGAUGACGGAAUAAAUAAACAUAGUUCGCCGCGAGCAAAAAGCUGUUGCGCGAUAAACGCGUGCGACCGACGUCAUUGUAAAGUAGCCCGAGUAUGUCGAGUGAUUAUUACUAUUAUUUUAUUGUUGGCUGCUUCGUAGAUCCGCGAGGAAUGCAGCGGAAAAUCAAUUGCAAUUGUUAAAAUAAAAUUCUGCUAAUAGAGAAUGACGCAGAUACAACUUUUCCCAGGAUAUAAUUUGAUGCCAAUUAAAUGUCUUUCUCUGUGUUCUAAGUUUAAUGUGGCGAAGAGAUGAUUAAAAAAAAUAUUAUAAAAGGGCACAACGUGCGUCACUCCUGACAAGAUGCAUCAGUGCGGGAAGGAUUUUUUACGUUUUUUUCCAAGAGUACAGAGCUUGGGGUCGGCGCGUGAGGUCAGAUGAACCCUUUGCUUUAUCACAAGACCCCAAUCAACUGGACAACAUUUACCGACACAACUGGCUGCUGGUAUGUAAAUUCACUCUUUUAUCAACCGCAGCAUCUCCGAUUUCAAAAUAUAACCGAGUUGACAUAUGGCGGGGGCCAUUCUUUGUACUCCAAUCAGAACAAUAAUUAUUGAAGUGUGCGCUUCAUUUUACCAUCUUGAUAAACACACAGACCAUACUUCAGUUCAUUUAAUAAUUUUUUGCUUCAAUUUGGACAGCUG